UACGAAGGGGGCUAGCGUUGCUCGGAAUUACUGGGCGUAAAGGGAGCGUAGGCGGACAUUUAAGUCAGGGGUGAAAUCCCAGAGCUCAACUCUGGAACUGCCUUUGAUACUGGGUGUCUUGAGUGUGAUAGAGGUAUGUGGAACUCCGAGUGUAGAGGUGAAAUUCGUAGAUAUUCGGAAGAAACACCAGUGGCGAGGGCGACAUACUGGAUCAUUAC
rnacentral:rRNA from 1 species